CAGCAGCAGGGCAGCGCUGGGAAGGGGUCAUCUCCGCAACCUGUGAGCCGGAGAGUUGUGCAAAUGGAAAAAGAAAACCUCGGCCUUCACCCCUGUGCCAAGUCUGGUCACGGAGUUUGUAGGAAUCGUGGAUCAAGGAACUCGUGUUCCAGGGCAGGGAACAUUGCCUUUCGUCACCAAUAACGAUCAUUCAGGUAUAACAAAUGUAAAAUCAGAGCUGGUUAAACGCACUGGUUCUGUUGCAACCAGUAUGUGAUGCAGGGUGGCAAAUCCUUCUCUCAUUUAAGGCCCCAGUGCUCCACGGGCCGGUUCUCAUUCUCCCGGCUGAAGCUAUGCGUCCUCCUCCCUGAACUCUCCCCCCUCCGUCUCCUCCUCCCUUCUCCUUACAGCCUGUACCUCGUUGUUGGUACCUGGCUUAACUCUGCCACUUCUCUGAAAGGUCUUUAAAUUUGGAGACGCAGUAAUACCCAUCUCCAUACUUGCUCUCUAGUAUCGUGGAGUCAUAGGUACAACUUUGUGCUCUAAAUGUUUGUCACAAGGAUGGCACUUUGAAAUAAGAAGAGUGUCACAAAUCUUGUUAACCUCUCCCUUCCUUGCAUAGAUGAGAGCCUUGGCGAAGGGUGGCUCGCUCCAUGGUAACCAGGGAUUGUAGUGAUGAAGUUACCGGGCGUCUGGGCGGCGUCGCGGUGGCACCUCAGGGCCUGCAGACAUCGUGCCCGGCUCCGCGAACCGACAGCGCCCUCUGGCGGACGCGAGCGUGCCCAGCCCAGUUCCUCCGGCGCCCUGACCGCCUCUACUUCCUCUGAGUCCACGGACUGGGGCUCCCAACGCUAGGAGCAGUAGGAUUACUGAACAAGCUGAGGGGAUAGGUUAAGGAGCAGACCACAUGGCAAGGGGCCACUGGCUUUAUCCAUAUGCCCAUCAGAAGCAGGGGACAGAUGUAGUCAGCGAGCACCUGCUCUAUCAAAAUACUAUGCUCUUUUUUUUUUUUUUAAUUAACUACGGGGGUUGUAGCCAACGAACACAUCGAGAAAGAGAAAAGAUCAUGAAGGAUCUUGGAGCCUGAAAGGUAUUUAUGGGCCAGGUUACCCACAUCCCAGUAGCUAUGACUUAGUUACAUGGCCACAUGUAACUGCAAGGGAGGCUGGGAAACAGUCUAGUCAAGUGCCAGGAAGAAGAGAAGAGCACAGCUUUUUGGUGAGCAGAGAGCUAUGUCUCCCACUUGGUCCUUUCCCCCAGUGCUGGAGAUUAGGACGAUCCAUUUGGGUUAGCUAACCCUCAGUGCAAAAUUGAUCCAUUCUUCUUUUGCCUCAUUCUUUCCCUAUCUUAUGUGUUAAAAAGAGCCAGAAAGACUCUACAGUUGUGGAAAGAGAUGCAGGUGCAGGUGUGGGCAAACAUAAAGGUGAUGAAACAGGAGAAAGAGCAGUGUGCUAGGCUACAGUCGUCUUCCAGCUCCUCCCUCUCCUUGCCCAUUAACCGGCCAAGGUGCUCUCACCUUUGGUGCCAGUUGUGGUGUGGUGGGAGACAUCGCCUAUUGUUUCCUGGGGGGAGGAUCCACUCUCAAUCCCUGCAAGUGAACUUGAUCAAGGUCUUCCUUUCCUCCAGGUGAACUCGGAGAUGCUGCAGCGCAGCGUCGGGUGGAAGUGUCAGAUGGAGAGUGACUUACUAGGCACCAACUUCAGAUGUAAUACUAUUCUGUACUUUGAAAUUUCAAGGAAGCUUUUAUAUCUAUCCCUCUUUGAUUACUCCCUUCUCAACCACAAGUUCAGGGCAAAUAUCAUUAUCUCCAUUUUACAGAUGAGGGUCACUGGGAUUCAGAGAAGGUAAGGGACUCAAGUGCACAGGAUGAGAGCCCAGAGCAGCACCUGGUUCCCUAGACAGGGCCUCCCUCCCAUGCUCACCCUUCCCCCUUUUAUCUGUGUCUGAUCAGGGCACUAGUGGGUGGCUGUUCUACAAUUUCCCUGGAAACUAAGUCUCCAGGGAGGCCUCAUUGCCCUGCAAGGCAAAGGCUGCUGCUCCAGUGGGCGGGUUGCGUGGAGACACUGGCCCAGACGGGAGAGCAGGCCGUCCCACCCCUCCUCAGCUGCUGCCGCCCACCUGGCCUGGGCGGUGAGGACGUUAAUGAAGGAGGGCUGGCUGGGGCACGCUGCAUCUGGUCCAGCAGGCACUGCACUGGGCCGCACCAAGCGGCAAAACAGAUGCUCAGAACACAACCUUUGCCGUCUGAGGAACAUAGAGCUCCUGGCACCCUGCUCAUUGCUUUUCUUGGGGGUGGGGUGGGCACUCACUUACCCCCCUCUGCGUGAGGGUAGCUGCCGGUCAAGUUCUUAUCUCACUGAAGGAUUUUCUUUUAAAAGUCAACCUUUGUCCACUUCUCUCCUUUCCCCUCCCCUGUCUUUUCUUUCUCUGAACCUGUUGCACUUCUGUUGUUAACUUCUAACAAAGGGAGCUUUUCUGGAUUGUUUUAUUCUUGCAGAUGCAAACAAGCUAACCAGGAGAGCCAAGCCAGGUCCAGCUGAUGCCGGCCUGUGUAGGUGGGGUGCAGGAACCAACCAUUGGAAGCCCUAUUCUGGGACUUGACAUUUCCCAGAGAGCUUGGAAAAAUCAGGGAAGCCCUGCCCAGGACUAGGUCCCGUUAACCUCGAGUGUGUGGUCACUCAGGGCCCUGCAUGGUGGGAGGGUCCCGGUGCCUGGAGUCUAGUGAAGGAAGGAGAAAGGGUAUUUUCCUCCUCACUCCCUGAAAACCAUGCCAGCUCCUUUUCCUGACCUGAGCCCUGCACCCCUUAUCCUGUUUGGCUCAGCUUAGAUGGCAUUUCUUCCAAGAGAAAUGCUCCCCCAUCAGCCCUGAGUACUAGUCUACCUGUUGGUUUCCUCCAAAGGCAGAACUACAGCAAAGCUAAUAUGGCCUAAAUUUUAGGGCCCCUCCCUUGCUCCUUCCAAGGCCCUGUUCCUAAUUUUAUAUUUCUAAUUUUGUAUUCUUUUUCCUAAAGAGGGCUUUUCACAUUGUUUAAGCUUCAGGCCACAUGAAACCCGGGUCUACCUGUGGUCUUUCCCAUUACUCUGCAAACCCCCUGAUUCAGGGACUGUGUCAGAUUCCCUGGGGUAUUCCUAGGUCCAGGGCAAGGCAAGGCUCUCAAUCGAGGUUUGUUAAAUGAAAAGAACGAAAGGAAGAAAAUAUCCUUAGCUAGUGCUUAGCUGACCAGUGGUUCUCAUUGGAACCCUCAGCACUGUCACCUGGGUGCUCUGGACAGGCUGACCUGGGACUUCAGGACAGUGCAGUGCAGGGUGGAGGCCAGGUGGGAAGCUCAGGGACUUAGUUCUAGGAUCUUGGGCAAACUCCUACCUCUCAGUGGGCCCUGGUUAAUUCAAAUGCAGGGGGUUUGUAACAACUGCCUUACAGGAUAACAAUGGGCCUUGUGUUACAGAUGGUGCAGUACCUGACACUGAGUAGGUCUCAGGAAGUUCCUUUCUAUACUCACUCCCUGAGGAACGCUUUGUUUGUAAUCCUUUUUAUCUCUAGCGCUGAAGGCACCCUCAAGAUUACCCUUAGGGCAUUUUAACCAGGUGGCUCCUGGAUAGUGGGGUUUAGGUCCAGGCACACAAAAGGAUUGGCUCUGGACCCAGUACCCCACUGAGGAUGGCCCUGAGACCAAGUCUGGGGUCCCCCCCCCCAUACCCAGUUCCUUCCUACAUUAAGAUAGAGGGCUUCAGGAAAAAUUCAGGGAACUCGAAUACAAAUAUAAAUAAUAAGGGAACAAAUCAUGUGGCUUACCAGCUUCCGCUUGCAGCUGUGGUUGGCUUUUCCAGCUAUUUGACCGAACUGGAGCCCUCAAUGGUUGUAAAGUAGUCAUUUACCUCUGUCUCUCAGAGAAGAAACUGAGACUGAUGUGGUGUCAAACCACCUGCCUCACUAAGCCCCAGGGUUGGCGGGCGGCAGACCCGGAACCGCAGGCCAGGUCCAGGCCCUUGCCACCCUGGCUGGACACGGCCUCCUGCCCCCUGUCCCUCAGCGCAGGAUUGACACACACACCGCUCAAUUCUUUCAAGUUUCCACAUGGACUCCCUCAUCUCGUGGGAACCAGGGCACCUGCCAGUGUAAGAACCGACCUUGCCAGCCCAGCACAGAGCUUGUCUUUGUGGUUUCUUCUCUAACAAGAAUGGAGAAGUGGUCAAUGUUUCUCACGUUUUCCUCUGGUGACGUCCACACAGUCUGUGUUUGCAUGUGCCAGAGCUUGAAAAUUCAACAGCUCGGUGGGGAGGGUGGCAGAAGGCAGAGCUGGGGGGAUGGGAAUUUACCAUUUACUGCAACAUGAGUUCUGCUAUUCACUUUUUACGUAGGAAGAGUAGUAGCAGUAACAAUAACAAUCAAUAAAAGGACAAAAUACAUGAAGCAGUGAUUUUUUUUUUUUCAAGAUGCUGGGUGUCAGGCAACAAUGAACAGUGAUCCCUCUGAACUGGGAAACAAACCAGCCUCCUGCACUUCAGAAGUUUCAGGACAUCACAUGCAGAAGUGCCAAAUGCUUUUUUGAGUCUUCCAGCCAAGUGCCCCCAACUAGGUAUGUUCCAUGUGGUAGAGCAUUGUGCAGGGCCAGCUCUACAGCUUGUCAGAAGAGGGUCAGCUCACAGGGAGUGUGGACGUUGGUGGUUACCUUCCAAUUGCGAACCAGCAACCCUACUUCCUCGUUGAGGUUGUUUUGUUCUGCUAUUGAUGCAAGGUUAUGUUUUUCUCAGAGGCUGGGUCCUCCCCACUUCUCCAGCCCCAGGGGUGAGUUCCUGAUCAGUCUAAGGCUCUAAGCCAAUCCCAGGAAGUAUUAGGCAUGCCCCUUGCCUGUGAUUAGUUUAGGAAUGAGUGUAUGAUAGAAAACUAUACAGUGAGAAGUGGGAGUGAGGAGUCUUCUGGGGCACUUUCUGAGGAGAAAUUGAUGAAAAGAAACAGUUCCUUAUAGUGCCUGAAAUAUCACUAUUAGUGAUUAUUUUUCCUUUUGAAUUAAUUAUUGUCCUUUUCUUUUAGAUUAAUAUAUUUAUAACACAAAUAGCUCUGGAAGGAGUAAUACUUGGACUCACAUGGUUGUGAAUUAGUUGGUCAGCUCUCUAAAAGGAUUUAGGUGGUAUAGUGGGUUGCAUGGUGGUCCCCCAAAGAUAAGUCUACACCCUAAUCUCUGGAACCUAAUUCUUGGAACUGUGAUAGUUACCUUAUUUGGGAGACAUGGUCUUUGCAGAUGUAAUUAAGUUAAAGAUCUGGAGAUAAGGAGAUAUCCUGGAUUAUCUGGGUAGACUCUAAAGCCAAUGACAAGGUAUCCUUAUAUGAGGGAAGCAGAGGAGAUUCACAGACACAGAGGAGAAGGCGAUGUGAAGACAGAGGCAAAGACUGGAGUGAUGAAGCCACAAGCCAAGGAGACCAAAGAACGCUGACAGCCCCCAGAAGCUGGAAGAGCAAAGAACACUGGAACAUCUCCCCUGGAAAUCUGGACUCCACAAAGACUCUCUCAUCCAUGGGUGAUUGUCUAAGACAGUGUUUUCCAGGAGCUCUCCAUCUACGGUCAAGAAGAGUUGGAGC